ACGAACGCUGGCGGCGUGCUUCACCCAUGCCAGUCGAACGGAAAGGCCCUGCUUUUGUGGGGUGCUCGAGUGGCGAACGGGUGAGUAGCACGUGAGUAACCUGCCCUUGACUUUGGGAUAACUUCAGGAAACUGGGGCUAAUACCGGAUAGGAGCUCCUGCUGCAUGGUGGGGGUUGGAAAGUUUCGGCGGUUGGGGAUGGACUCGCGGCUUAUCAGCUUGUUGGUGGGGUAGUGGCUUACCAAGGCUUUGACGGGUAGCCGGCCUGAGAGGGUGACCGGCCACAUUGGGACUGAGAUACGGCCCAGACUCCUACGGGAGGCAGCAGUGGGGAAUAUUGCACAAUGGGCGGAAGCCUGAUGCAGCAACGCCGCGUGCGGGAUGACGGCCUUCGGGUUGUAAACCGCUUUCGCCUGUGACGAAGCGUGAGUGACGGUAAUGGGUAAAGAAGCACCGGCUAACUACGUG
rnacentral:rRNA from 1 species